CGAUGAACGUCUGAGUUUGAGUGAUGUACGCUUUGGGCACCACCGAGCGGGAAGUUGAAUUGUCAAACUCGGCAAAAACGGGGAUGACCUCGCCUGUGGAGAGGAGGGAGAAAAGGAUUCGUGGUCAACAAACAGGUCACUCGGGCUCCCUAUUGUGAUGCAAAUGAUUUGAGUGGAUCUCCUGGAGGGGAUGCAACCUUGAGAGGAGAGGAGAGGACUGACCUGCCUGCAGCAGCACCUCUCUGCGGUUCAAGUAUUCCACCUCGUCGCUAUAGUUCUGCGUAUAAGCUGUGCUGGAGCCGGCCGAGCGGGACUCGGUCCAGUGCACUUUGGCAAAACCUUCGGCGUGCAGCUUCAGUGAGUCCACGCGACUCUCCCCGGUGAGCUCCAGCACCACCCGGCCGGACACCACGUCCCCGCUGCUGUACACGGGAGGACAGUCCACGUCCGGAGCGUCGAAGACGAUGUCCAACUUUUUCAACUUGUCGAAAAUCAUUGUUGCUACUCGUCUUAAGUUAUUCCUUUCGGUGUUGUGGGAUGAAGAUGCUGUUGCGCUUGCUGGUUUAUAGUUGAGACUGUUUUGCAGUUUCGGUUGGAGGCCUAUUUGGAGGAGGAGAAAGUGGGCGGGGCCACCCUGUCGAUCGAUUGUGUAAGCCUCAAAGAGAGGCAUGAAGGCUUGGCGAUGAUGCCUUCACAUAGACCUUGAAUGCAGCGUUGAAAACAUGCAGACUGGGUGUGGAGGCUGCAGCGAGGAAAACAAGGUCUGAUCAUCAUGAUUGGCGGUUCCAGGUUCUCAGAAGAGAACAGGAUUAUACAGAGUAUGCUCAAGUUAUAUAGAAGCUCCCAGAAGAGGAAAAUACUUUCAUGCUGGCUGGCUGGCUGGGACCAAAAUUGUUUACACCGCUUCUUCCAUGACACUUGGGACACACUGCCAAGAAACCACAUACUUGCGAAACUAAAGUUUGGACGAAGCAAGAUGCAUGUCCCUUUGAAAAAAACAACUGCACUACUAGUACUCUCAA